rnacentral:lncRNA from 1 species
AUUGUCUUGGUAAAAGAAAAAUGUGUACAAAGUGCUUGUAAUUAGUUUUCAGAACUGACUAGGAGGGGUAAUGCUGGGAUAUUGUUUGAGAGACUAGCUUAAUAAGGAAACUUAUACCAUGUGUGUCUUUUGAUGCUAAGUCACUUAGCAUUCAAAUUUGAAUAUACAGUUUCAAGUAUUGAAAAUGAUACUUUGAGUAAAAUACUAACUUUAUCAAUUACAUUUUAAACUUUAUGUCUAAGUUUUGUAAGUUAUCUUGGAAUCCAUCUUUAGAACCUGGUAGGAUGGAAAGGUAAAGACAAACACUGUUCUUUUCAAUAUUUAGCUUCUUGUUGGCUGUUGACUUAAAUUGAAACCUGUUGACUUAGUCAUUUGUGGCUUUCACUUGAUUCAGUAGUAUCUGUUAAAAAAAAAAAGCUAUCUUUUACUUGUCUUUAAGAGUGAGUGGGUGUGUGUGUGGGUGUAUAGCAAAUUUGAAGUAUUCGUUGUUUGGACAUGUCUUGUAAAAAAUUUCAGGAAACUGUAAUAGUAUCAAAGUUUUUUAUCUUAUCUAAAAUUUAUAAAAUAUAUAAAGUUUUG